rnacentral:lncRNA from 1 species
UAACUGUCAGGCCACAUUAAGCCACAGUACGGAAGAAGCUGUGCUGCCUGUGAGCCCCGUCCAAGGACGUUAAAAGAAGAAGUCAGGCCCCAAAGCCACGGUUUGAGCAAACCGUGCUGCCUGUAGCUCCGUCGUGGGGACGUAAAACCUGGGAGGCUGCAAACUGUGGAAGCUGUACGCACAGUGUAGCAGACUAGCGGUUAGAGGAGACCCCUCCCAUGACACAACGCAGCAGCGGGGCCCGAGCACUGAGGGAAGCUGUACCUCCUUGCAAAGGACUAGAGGUUAGAGGAGACCCC